rnacentral:tRNA from 1 species
CCAUUUAGCUCAGCGGUAGAGCGCCCGGCUGUUAACCGGUAGGUCGGAGGUUCGAUACCUCUAAUGG